GGAGAGCAGAAAGCCUGGCCUGGAUCAGUCUGCUGAGAAACAGCAAUGCCUGGCUACAGGCCAUGUCGGUGCCUUGGGAAAGGGGAGCGGUUCUCAUGGGACUUCCCAAGCCCUGCAGCCUCUGAAGUCACUUCAAAAUGUUCUCAGUAUGGAGGGAGAGAGUCACACCUUGCAGAAGGCCUUAGGCCCUGCCGACUUCUUCUAACUCAGUGACCUGCACAUCUUGCUGUGUUCGUUCAGACACCCCGCAGACAGGAAGGCGAUUCAGGCUUGGAGGCAAGGUAUUAACUGUCAGCAGAGAGAGACCUCUGCAUCAUCUGGGGAACGUUUAUUGCAGUCCCUCCUCUUGUGAGCUUCACUCCCAAGUAGAACCAAAGGAGCAUCAGCAGGGGGAGUAUUUUCUUCCCCAAUCCUUCGGUCAUUCCUGAGGUACAGGAAAUACAAGGCAAAGAUGUCAUAUUGAAAGAAAAGCUUAUAAUUUCUACUCCUCCCCUCCCCACUUCCCACAGAAUUAACUUUCCCUUAACUUCCCUAACAGGGGCCUGACAUUGCGGUUUGAAUUCAGCCACCCUGGGAAUCUGCACCCUGAGCUUUCUCCAAUUUCUGGGAUGGCACAGUGAUGGCAGGGCUUAAGAGUGCCUCAA
rnacentral:lncRNA from 1 species